GAUGAACGCUGGCGGCGUGCCUAAUACAUGCAAGUCGAGCGAACAGACGAGGAGCUUGCUCCUCUGACGUUAGCGGCGGACGGGUGAGUAACACGUGGAUAACCUACCUAUAAGACUGGGAUAAAUUCGGGAAACCGGAGCUAAUACCGGAUAAUAUAUUGAACCGCAUGGUUCAAUAGUGAAAGACGGUUUUGCUGUCACUUAUAGAUGGAUCCGCGCCGCAUUAGCUAGUUGGUAAGGUAACGGCUUACCAAGGCGACGAUGCGUAGCCGACCUGAGAGGGUGAUCGGCCACACUGGAACUGAGACACGGUCCAGACUCCUACGGGAGGCAGCAGUAGGGAAUCUUCCGCAAUGGGCGAAAGCCUGACGGAGCAACGCCGCGUGAGUGAUGAAGGUCUUCGGAUCGUAAAACUCUGUUAUUAGGGAAGAACAAAUGUGUAAGUAACUAUGCACGUCUUGACGGUACCUAAACAGAAAGCCACGGCUAACUACGUG
rnacentral:rRNA from 1 species